rnacentral:rRNA from 1 species
CGCGCAGGCGGUUCUUUAAGUCUGAUGUGAAAGCCCACGGCUCAACCGUGGAGGGUCAUUGGAAACUGGAGAACUUGAGUACAGAAGAGGAAAGCGGAAUUCCACGUGUAGCGGUGAAAUGCGUAGAGAUGUGGAGGAACACCAGUGGCGAAGGCGGCUUUCUGGUCUGUAACUGACGCUGAGGCGCGAAAGCGUGGGGAGCAAACAGGAUUAGAUACCCCUGUA